UGUCUUCUAAGGAAGGGUCCCAUAUUUCCAAACAGUGGCAUUGGUGGAAUAUGCAGAAUUCCAUGCUUCUUGAAUAAAUUAUAAUUUCUUGUGGUAAAGUAGUAAAUAACGACGAGUACUGCUGCCACUAUGGACAAAGCGAUCGGUAGAUACUCCAUGUUAAAGUAGUCGGUGUAGGUGCCAGAGUUUAGCGAUAA